rnacentral:rRNA from 1 species
UGGUGAGUUUCACUCUACUCUGGCCCUGUGAAGAGACAUGAGAGGUGUAGAAUAAGUGGGAGGCCCGCCGGUGAAAUACCACUACUCUGAUGGUUUUUUCACUUAACUGGUGAGGCGAGCCCCAAGGGGCUCUCGCUUCUGGCGUGUGCCGGGUGCGACCCGCUCCAGGGACAGCAUCAGGUGGGGAGUUUUGUCUGGGGUGGUACACCUGUCAAACCGGAACACAGGUGUCCUAAGGUGAGCUCAGGGAAAAGAAAAGGAAGAAGAAGAAAAAAGAAAGGGAAAAACAAAUUAAAGAGGCAAUAGGAAAAUAAAUAGGAGAUGGAGAAUGAAUGAAAAGAUUCUGAACAGUUUAUCAUA